CCUACGGGAGGCAGCAGUGGGGAAUAUUGGGCAAUGGGGGAAACCCUGACCCAGCGACGCCGCGUGGAGGAAGGAGCCCUUCGGGGUGUAAACUCCUGUUGUAAGGGAAGAAGACAGUGACGGUACCUUACGAGGAAGCCCCGGCAAACUACGUGCCAGCAGCCGCGGUAACACGUAGGGGGCGAGCGUUGUCCGGAAUCACUGGGCGUAAAGCGCACGCAGGCGGAUGCGCGCGUCGGCUGUGAAAUGCACCGGCUCAACCGGUGCACUGCGGUCGAUACGGCGCGUCUGGAGUGCGGGAGAGGGAAGUGGAAUUCCCGGUGUAGCGGUGAAAUGCGUAGAUAUCGGGAGGAACGCCAGUGGCGAAGGCGGCUUCCUGGCCCGCGACUGACGCUCAUGUGCGAAAGCCAGGGGAGCGAACC
rnacentral:rRNA from 1 species